ensembl:snRNA U5 U5 spliceosomal RNA
AUACUCUGGUUUCUCUUCAGAUCAUAUAAAUCUUUCGCCUUUUACUAAAGAUCUCCGUGGAGAGGAACGUUUAUGAGUUUCUACCCAAUUUUUUAUUAUAUACCCCAGAUGUGUUCA